CUUAUGUGCUGCUGAGGAAUCGAACCCAGGGCAUGCAUCUACCACUAAGCCACUUAUCCAGCCUGUAUGGUCUAUUUCUGAUAAACACAGAAUUACAUGUGACAUGACAUGGAAGGUUAUGGACAGAGAUAACCUUGGAACUUAAGAGAAUAUUUCAAAUUCUUAAUUUAUCACAUUCAAGACAUUAUGAGUAGCAAAUGUAUAUGUGGUUUUGUGGGAGGGAUGUGUGUGUGUGUGUGUGUGUGUGUGUGUGUAUGUGUGCCUGUUUAUUGCUAGAGAGGCUAUCUACCAGUUCAACCUCAUAGUGAGGUCUUUAUGAAAAUGGUGAAUUACAUAAUACAAAACUAUGCUACAAUUACUUAGUAAAUGGGGCAAUUAAAAAUACUUCAUAAAAUCCUUGUAUAAGUUUCAAGGUUAUAGUUCAUAAGGUAAAGUAAACAAAAUGAAUAAUCAUUAGCUAAACAGUAAUUACAUUUAAGAAAGAAAAAUUUAGUAAAAUUAGAUUAUACAAUAAGGACUAAUCAGAUAAAGUUGACAAAAAAAGGAAAGUUAAGGACACAAAACUUUUGCCAAGUAAACUAUUUUUCUAUCUGUACAACAAAUUAUAUUGGUACACAGGAAGAGCAAAAAGAGUAACAAAAUACUAAACUGGUUAUAAUUAGAGACCCAAGAAUCAAAUGCCAAAGCCACAAAAAAUGGAAUUGAAGCCAGAGAGCCCUUGGUGGAAAAAAAUAGCACCAUAAGAAAGACCAGUAAGAAACAAAAUAGAACAAGGUAGAGUCCUAGAUUUCAUAUAAUAUGAGCAAACACUGGAACAUCCAGGCACAUAACACAGCAGAGCAAUACAUAACAAAACUUACACAAGUGAC